GACGAACCGUGCGAACGUUAUUCGGAAUCACUGGGCUUAAAGCGCGUGUAGGCGGAUGGGAACGUCGGUCGUUGAAAGCCCCCGGCUCAACCGGGGAAUUGGCACCGAAACGACCCGUCUGGAGGGGCAUAGGGGGAUCUGGAACUUCCGGUGGAGCGGUGAAAUGCGUUGAGAUCGGAAGGAACGCCCGUGGCGAAAGCGAGAUCCUGGAUGUCUUCUGACGCUGAGACGCGAAAGCUAGGGUAGCGAACGGGAUUAGAAACCCCUGUAGUCC
rnacentral:rRNA from 1 species